rnacentral:lncRNA from 1 species
GCCAUUUUUUAUUCAAAUUUGAAUCCUCCAAACACAAUAGAGGUUACAACAACAUGGAUUAUUCAUUGUCUAAGCCCAACCAACACAAACUGUCUCUUUGGAUGAUUUUUGUCAUGAUAUUUGUGCCGGUAGAUAUUUAUCAGAGUAACAAUAACAUAAACAAAAACUAUUCAAUAUAUAUUUAGUUUAAGAAAAACAUCAAAAUUGCCCAGAUCGUAAAAUUUAAACCUUUAAUCUGAAUAUUUUAUGUCCUUCAAGGAAUUAAGCUUUGAAAGUAGAAUUGCAAUUAUGUGCAGCCGUGGAGAGAGAAAGUGUGAACUGCCGAGGGAGAGAGAAAGAAAUUGAAUCCGGUGUGGUGA